GUGUCCUCUGCAGAUCAUAAACAAGUGACUUGUUUAAGCAUUUUCUUGGUUCAACUUCAUAUUUCUAUAUCAGAAUCAAACUAAUUAUGUUACUUGAACAUUUAUAAAAAAUAUUGUGUUGAUCCUGAGUUUUGGUUGAUGACAAAGCAAACUUCCUAAUGUUGGUUUAGUGUGGUUGUUGUUUAGGCCCUGAGUUCCUAUGAUGGAUAAUACUAAGCUAGGGAGUUCCAGAGGUGGACAAAUAUGGAGGCAGGUGUGCAAAGCCAUUCAAUCAAUAUUAAGAGCUACUGUGAAGAACUGACCAUUCUACAAUUGGUAGAACCUGAGUUCCUGUUGCGAGUUCCUCAUAUAGUCAUAUACUAUGAGGAACUUCGAAGUUCUAGAGAAGAACAAUGCAUGAAGUUUCAGAGUGAAGCUUCCAAGAGGUGCUAACAUGAAAGCUACAACAUAUGAGUUUAUGUUUAGGUUUUAUUCAGGGUUCCAGAGGCACUAAGAGCAAAGACAGUGUCAUGGAUGAUUGACCAAUAAACAGCCCGCCAUUCUCAUGGAAACUGAUUUUGGCACACCUCUAUGUGAAUACAAGGCGCAAGACUAGUUAAAGUCAUUCCCUACCCUGCAUUUUCACACUAAUGUGUAUGUCUUUACUCUUAAACAUAAGAUUUGGAGGGCCAAUGUACAAGUCAGAUAAGUAGAUAACAUAGGACAUGUUAUUGUGGACCUA